GUGUGGGUGGUUCAGUGGUAGAAUACUCGCCUGCCACGCGGGUGACCCGGGUUCGAUUCCCGGCUGACACA
rnacentral:tRNA from 1 species